GACGAACGCUGGCGGCGUGCUUAACACAUGCAAGUCGAACGGAAAGGCCCUGCUUUUGUGGGGUGCUCGAGUGGCGAACGGGUGAGUAACACGUGAGUAACCUGCCCUUGACUUUGGGAUAACUUCAGUAAACUGGGGCUAAUACCGGAUAGGAGCUCCUUCUGCAUGGUGGUGGUUGGAAAGUUUCGGCGUUUGGGGAUGGACUCGCGGCUUAUCAGCUUGUUGGUGGGGUAGUGGCUUACCAAGGCUUUGACGGGUAGCCGGCCUGAGAGGGUGACCGGCCACAUUGGGACUGAGAUACGGCCAAGACUCCUACGGGAGGAAGCAGUGGGGGAUAGUGCACAAUGGGCGGAAGCCUGAUGCAGCAACGCCGCGUGCGGGAUGACGGCCUUCGGGUUGUAAACCGCUUUCGCCUGUGACGAAGCGUGAGUGACGGUAAUGGGUAAAGAAGCACCGGCUAACUACGUG
rnacentral:rRNA from 1 species